AACCUCCGCAAUGUGAGAAAUCGCGACGGGGGGAUCCCAAGUGCCAUUCUUAACGGGAUGGCUUUUCUUAAGUGUAAAAAGCUUUUGGAAUAAGAGCUGGGCAAGACCGGUGCCAGCCGCCGCGGUAACACCGGCAGCUCUAGUGGUAGCUGUUUUUAUUGGGCCUAAAGCGUUCGUAGCCGGUUUGAUAAGUCACUGGUGAAAUCCUGUAGCUUAACUGUGGGAAUUGCUGGUGAUACUGUUGAACUUGAGGUCGGGAGAGGUUAGCGGUACUCCCAGGGUAGAGGUGAAAUUCUGUAAUCCUGGGAGGACCACCUGUGGCGAAGGCGGCUAACUGGAACGAACCUGACGGUGAGGGACGAAAGCUAGGGGCGCGAACCGGAUUAGGUACCCGGGUAGUCCUAGCCGUAAACGAUGCGGACUUGGUGUUGGGAUGGCUUUGAGCCGCUCCGGUGCCGAAGGGAAGCUGUUAAGUCCGCCGCCUGGGAAGUACGGUCGCAAGACUGAAACUUAAAGGAAUU
rnacentral:rRNA from 1 species